CAAAUCCCAUUCAUAUUUUUCAAACAUGGAUAUCUAUAAGAUCAACUUUCUGUUCUAGAGAGAAUAUUACUGAUGAAUAUGAUGAUAUUGGGGAUAAGGGAAGCAAAGAAAGCGAUGUUGGUGAGGUUCAAUCCGAAUACGGAUUUACAUGGUAAAAAUAGUAAAAUACGAUAUCAGAUUGAGCCGCGCCAAUAUCACUACUUGAUGA